AUUGAACGCUGGCGGAAUGCUUUACACAUGCAAGUCGAACGGCAGCACGGAGAGCUUGCUCUCUGGUGGCGAGUGGCGAACGGGUGAGUAAUAUAUCGGAACGUAUCCAAUAAUGGGGGAUAACGAGUCGAAAGAUUCGCUAAUACCGCAUACGCCCUACGGGGGAAAGCAGGGGAUCGUAAGACCUUGCGUUAAUGGAGCGGCCGAUAUCUGAUUAGCUUGUUGGUGAGGUAAAGGCUCACCAAGGCGACGAUCAGUAGCUGGUUUGAGAGAACGACCAGCCACACUGGAACUGAGACACGGUCCAGACUCCUACGGGAGGCAGCAGUGGGGAAUUUUGGACAAUGGGGCAACCCUGAUCCAGCCAUUCCGCGUGAGUGAAGAAGGCCUUCGGGUUGUAAAGCUCUUUCGCAAGGGAAGAAAACUUAUGAUCGAAUAAAUCAUGAGGUUGACGGUACCUUGAUAAGAAGCACCGGCUAACUACGUGCCAGCAGCCGCAGUAA
rnacentral:rRNA from 1 species